ACUUUAAUGAUCUCAUCUCUUUGCAUCUUCUUGUUCAAGUGGUCUGAAUAUUUUUAAUAUAUAAUCGAGGCAUUCCAAGUAUUUGUAAUCUAAAUUGAAGUAUAAAGUAGUUUUUGGCAUUGAUGCAUAAUAAAUAAAGGAGGAACUAAGAAGGAGUCCUUAUAUCUUGUUGAAAUGAAGACAGUAUUAUGACCUUUUGACAGCUUUAUCGACAUGGAUGAUAGUAUUACAAACUUUUGAGGAAGGGAAAUUUUUAAGAGAAAAGUUUAUCUUCUACCUUGGUACUCUUUACUUCCUUACUAACGGUGUAAAGUAAUUUUUAUGACAUGGUCUGCUCAUCUCACAUAACCUUCUGUACCUGCAUUAUAGUUUAAGUUGAUGGCAUUUACGCUAGUAAAGCUCUAAGUGUGAGAUUAAGUUGACAACAUUUAAAAUGCAACCCAUGUCGCUUUCUCCUAUCAUUUGGAACCCUCAAAAAUAUCAGCCAGCCCCACAAUUGUUCCCUGGUUUACUCCCCCAGUGGCAGCCCCGGGUCUCUCACAGUACGCCUUGAACGUAGGUGAUGGAUACCUGGGCCUAAAGCUGACUGCAGAACCUUCUCUGGGCUACCUCUUCUGCACUCCCCCCAAUUUCCAGCAAACCAUUCACAACAGCAGCAAGGGCAUACAAAGCAAUGUAAUAGAAUAAAGAAAUGUAACACAAUCAAAGUAGAUGAUGAAAAUAUGUAUUGUAUUGAAUAUUUCUUGGUGAAGUUUACAAAAUCAAUUCUUCAAUACAAUGACUAUUUUCAAUGAUUAUGUUUGAUUACAA